rnacentral:rRNA from 1 species
AGGACGAACGCUGGCGGCGUGCCUAACACAUGCAAGUCGAACGAGGUUAAUCCGGUAGCAAUACUGGUGACUGCCUAGUGGCGAACGGGUGAGUAGCACGUGAGCAACCUGCCCCGAAGACCGGGACAACACCGGGAAACCGGUGCUAAUACCGGAUACCCCCACCUAAUCGCAUGAUCUGGUGAGGAAAUGGAUUCCGCUUCGGGAGGGCUCGCGGCCUAUCAGCUAGUUGGUGAGGUAACGGCUCACCAAGGCUUCGACGGGUAGCUGGUCUGAGAGGACGAUCAGCCACACUGGGACUGAGACACGGCCCAGACUCCUACGGGAGGCAGCAGUGGGGAAUCUUGCACAAUGGGCGAAAGCCUGAUGCAGCAACGCCGCGUGAGGGACGAAGGCUUUCUGAGUUGUAAACCUCUUUCAGCAGGGACGAUUGUGACGGUACCUGCAGAGAAGGCCCGGCAACUACGCGCCAGCAGCCGCGGUAA